rnacentral:rRNA from 1 species
GGUGGUCAAGUAACAAAGGGCGCACGGUGGAUGCCUUGGCAUCAGGAGGCGAUGAAGGACGUAGGAGCCUGCGAUAAGCCCCGGGGAGCUGGCAAGCGAGCGAUAAUCCGGGGAUUUCCGAAUGGGGAAACCCGG